ACUUUCUGUCUUUUAACCACACUGUAGCUAAAUACUGAAUCAUGGAUAAGAGAACGUUCUCACCUGUUCGGGUGCAUGGACACUGGGAAUCUGGAGGGGAAUUUUCUGCUGGAAAAACUUCCAGCGAAAACCACUCAUCUCCUAAAAACAAGCUCUCAGUGGAGAAAUUUCAGAUUUGGAGAGAGCGUUUUGCUUUACACUAGGAAAAUUAGCAUGAUGGUUCUGUCAUGCCUAGUCAGGUGAAUCUUACCAGCUAUGUUCUUUGCCUACAGGACUUUAUCGAAGGCUCUCUGUGUGGCACCAAGUGCUUCAGCUUUCCACCAUCUUGACCCUUCUCCUGCUUGCUUCUCUCUGGUAUCCAGGCAAACAGGGUGUUGGGAGAGCUACCCCAAAACUUUCUAAGUCUAUACAUGAAGUACAAAAUCAAAACAAGAGUAGAAACUGGAACUGGAAAACAUCAGAAAAUCAGUAGUGUAUCGCUUCCUGGCCUAUGCAUCAUUGAUGUGGUAGCAGUCUUUUGGAGUUGUGCUGCAAGAGACUGGCAGCAACUGAAAAAUGGGAAUCAGCAGCAAUUCAAAGAUGGUCCCUUCUGAAUAGUAUCUUGCCGCUGGCAUAACUGCAACAUGUAUUGCUGAGCUACGUUUUUGUUGCUGCAAUCCCACAGCUGGAAGGAAAGCAACUCACUACCAAAAGUUUCCUGCCACUAUUGUAUGUCUUCUUUUCUUUGGAAAGAUAAUAUUAAUAGAGAGCGUUACUUGGUUUCUUGUUUCUGGCACUUCAUCAGCCCCAGGAGGUUGGUUUUUCUUCCCCAGUGAUGAAGGUGUUAUAUUUCUAGGAAUCCCUUCUCCUUCACUUUUCUAUCACCCUCUGCAUGCCUAGCUCUGAAGCAGCGUGCCAGAGCCACAUACUUCCAGCCAAAAGGAUUAAAAAAGGAUGUGCAUUUUUAUGUUCAGCCUGGAUUUUGAGCAUAACCUCGAGGACUAUGUGUGGGACUGUAAGUGUAUCCUCAUGCACACUUGGCUGCAUUUCCUGGUGCCCCUGGACAUAGCCCAAGUAAAGUGGCUUCUAGGGACAGGCGGGCUGCAGGGUGCAGUGCUGGCACCACACACCCACUACUGCACCCAAAACCUUCGCUCAGAAAAGUGGAGUCUGCAAGAUCCCUUCAUGGCUCACAAAAUGCAGUGUGUUCAUGAUUAAAGUUGUGAGGCCAGAUGUGGCUACGUACGGCAAGAUCUCCAGAACUCUAGACUUUUUAGGCUUACUUUCAUUAGCAGGCUCUGAAAAAACAGAACUGAACAGUUAUGUCCAAUGGCUGCUCUAUCUUUUAUGCAAUAUAGGACACAGCAAUUGAGAAGAAAAGGAGGGAAACAAAGUCUGUCAUUAAUGGCAGAAUCUUUAUUUGCAGAUAACUUCACCCAGUGGUAUUCUGGAGGCUAGAAAGGAACACAAAACAGAAAGCAACAACUGUGACAAGUGUUUGCCGUAAUCUUGCAAAAAUGGUGUUGGAAAGGGAAUCCCAUUAUAAAAGAGUGAAAGGUGGAUGCAAGAUUGAUUUCUUUGGAGUUCAGUUCACUGUCAACACAGCAUCGGAGUUUCACCGAAAGCAGAAAAAACCCAAUGUUGUUUCAAGGCCUGGCCAGGAUCUUUAGGGCUCCAGAGAGCUGACCCAUGUGUCUGCAACCAGGUUCAUGAUAGUGAGGUGCCUCACUCCUGGCCCUCUGCCCAGAAGUCCACGUUGCCCAGAUGACUGCAGGGUAUUGUGGGCUAUUCUGGUAUGGAUUUUUCAUAGUUGUUUGCUUCCAGCGAGGACAAGUCUUUGUAAUUUCUUAAGGAAUUGAUAAAUAUCUUUUAAACACACUUCCACUAGCAGCUCCUGACACUGGGAACCACUAGGAAUCAUCAGAGGCUUUGGUCAAAAUGGGAAGAAGUAUGACAACAAAAAACAACAGGGUUAAAGGUACACACAGUUAUACUAGCAAGGCCCUUGAAAUCACACAAAUGGAGAAAAACCCCACAUGAACAAAACUGUGGUUCUAAAAUCCCUCCCAUGUGCAAAGGUUGGCUCUCAACUGUUAAAGUCAGUAUAACAGAUUCUCAGGAUCAAGCCACUGAAAGCAAAGACUAAUGCAGUGAUAUGUUUAAAAUAAUUGAAAUAUGCUUAAAUAAUGGAUGCUCCAGCCUGUGUAUUGCACUCGAUCAGCGUAUUUUUCCUCUUUUUCACUUCAGUAAGCCAGACUGCUGUCUCUUGAGAGUCAAAUAAUUUAGACUGUGUCUAGGAGAGGUGAGAUCUAAGAGAAAUAGCUAUCAUCAGCAUGAUAGAGCCUGAGACAAUGUGAUGUGGCACAUUAGAGUUGGGGAGCUUCAAGAUCGCAGUCUGGUUAUUAGUUUAGAGAUUCAUUCUAUCUGUGCUACCAUAAAAAAAGAAAAUUCUAUAAAUAUGUGGCAGAAAGGGUGCAAUUUUUUCUUCAUAUAAUACCUGUUUUAUGCUCUAGUGGAGCCAACUGGAGAUACUGAAGUAUCAAUGCACCAUUACAAUGCUGUUUUUAAAAAGUAUUUCCACAGAGUCUGAAAUUGUAUAUGCCUGUAAUUAUCAUCAAAAUCUGUAAGUGAAUAUUAAUGCCCUGCUUCUUGCAAACUGCAGCUGAAAACCAAGAGCUAUUCUUUGAAUUGCUAAUAUAAGGUGCUCUCAAAAAAUCAGGCUGCAGAGGUUUCAGGCUCGACUUUCCAAAACAGUGGAAGGGUUUUCCCUGAGUUCUCUGCAUCUCAGUUGCUCUUUGGUCAAAUGGGAAGGACACCAUCUCCCCAUCUCACAGGAACAAUGUGUCAGUGAAUUCACUCAGUCUCCUGAAGCACAUGUAUCAGGGAACACAGAAGGAGUCACAGAGAACACAGAGUAUAUUGUGCAAGCUGGGCUGAGAUAAUGACCAGUAAACAAGGCAAGAGGCUUCCUACAGAACAGCAGGAUGACAAAGAAGGAAACAGCUGCUUGGGAAGUAACUCUGUCCCUCCUGGGCGCAGACUGAUACACUAGGACCAGUGGGGAAAAAAACAAUCUCUUUAAGACUUACAUCACACUGCAGAUUCACAAAAAGCACAAGUCUAUGUUUAACAGCUGCAGAAACAUGCACUCCUAGGAUAUCUUUACUUUUGAGACAGUAAUUUUGUAACCUUACCAAAGUACCAUUAACAAUUUGGUUAACAUUACUGAAAACCUUUGUCUUAUUCACGCAGGCAAAAACUGCAGUCGUCUUAAACUACAAAAAUUUGCCUGAUUGAAACAAACUUUAAAUUUUCAGCUGUGUUUAUCCUGUUAGUCCAAAAAUGAGCAUUUUCUCCUGUUAGAAAGAUGCUCAAAGCUUUGCACUGAAAAAGUUGUGCACUGUCUUUUGCUGCUUUGUCAGUAUUAAUGUAAGUGCAUGAAAACUUUGGAUCGUUCUAAAGGAAAAUGUGAUAAAACACAUUGAAAAUUUAUUUAGCCAGUUCCCAGCCCUUAUCUGUAUGCUUCCCCACGGUGAGUGACUAAGAAUCCCUUUUCUGUCUUGCAUCAAGGACCAGUGGAAAUUACGUUUUACAAAGAAGAGGAGAACGGCAACUGUGUGUGGCACUACAACAGGAGAUGUCUAUUAUGUAUAGCUGUGUUCCGUUAUUUGUGACGCUACCCAAGCCUGACCAAACCACCUCAGUCUCAUAUUCAUUGACAAAGGACUCAGUAAUAAAAACUCACAAAACACACCAUUUCUUUUCUUGCUUUUGCUGAUUAAUGGCAUGAAAAGGAAUAUCCUUAUUAGAUAUUCUUACAAAUGGCCUAUUGAACUGUAGGGAGGGAACCAUUCACACAGAGAACUUGGCCUAAUGUUCAGUGCUUCCUGUGCUCUCUCAAUGAGCUUCAGAGAGAAUAAAGCAUUUUGUGGUGCCACAGAGGCCAAUGUUCAAAGUAAAAACAUAAAAUAAGCUUUGUCUACAGGGAGAUGCAGGCAAGUUCCUAACUCUACAUGGAAUCUGCAGAUCUUCUCUAUUAUUUUUUUUUGUCUUUAACUAGAAAGGCUUUCAAAGGGGAAAGAAGUGAGUGAGGUAGCACCCCUUCUUCCUGGAGUCACUUGGUCUACAGAGAGCUUAAGUUCAAAUGUCCUCCUCGCAACACGCAUAUCCCAGGAGUGCAUCCUGGCCAGUGAGAUAAGCUCAUGUGAUGUUUUCUCAAACUCUUUUGCUAACGCUUAUUUAAAAUUUCACUGGAUAAAAUGGAGAGUCAGAGCUAGAAUGAUGCAGAAGCCUUCACGCUGCACCUGCAGGAGGCAUGUGGGCUCUCUUUUCUCAAGACAAGGAACUUCAGUCAUAUCAUAUGUAGCAAAAAACCCACCAAACUUCAAAAGAUGGCAAUGAGAGUAUUCCCAUGAAAGGAUAGCCUCCUGCACACUGAUGAGAGCUUUGCAAUGCAGGUUAGAAAUGUUGGUUCAACUUCCUUUGACUAGUCUUCAGACUGCAUCAUAAGAAAAGUCAGAGAAGGGAUCCAUCACCGGUGCUGCUUCUUCUCUGGUUUCCAGCAUAUUAAAAAGCCAGUAAGAAAAAUGCUCCAUUUCUGGUAGAAAGCAUUUUUUCCUUUUGUUGGCCCACAGUUCCUUUGCUGUCCUGGCAUACGCUAAAAGGCCAGGACUGUCCUUCUACUUCAGUUCCUGGAUCCCUCCAUGAUUUUGUCUAACAUCUGCGGCAUUUCUAUGCCUCAGUUUCUCCUUGUAAAACACUGUCUUGAGCUAUCAGUAGCUGCAAAAGAAGAAGAAAAGAAUGAGGAUACAGGAAGUUGGGAGAGUUGGCAGGGCUGUAAUUCUGGAAGUUUUAUUUCAAAGCUUUAUUUAUAUUUCAGAGCUUUAUUUAUAUUUUUAAAAAACUUACCAGUCUGUCCAACUCAUUGAUAGCCCAAAGGAAUACUCUGAAAAAUUGAGAUAUUUUCAUGUGAAAUAUAAACUGUGAGGCCAGUUGGAAGGAGGUAUUGUUGUGUAUUCUUAACUAAAGACAAAGAAGGGAGAAAGAAAACACUGCUGAUAGACUUAGCAAACAAUUAGCUAUAAGGACACUUAGAGUAGUAAGUUAUAUUGUUUGCAGUGGCCUAGGUACAUUUUCUUCCACUGGAAGUAGAACCAUUUUUUAAAAUUCACCCUUACUCCAGCCAGAAGCAGUUGUGGUUUGUAAGACUGGAAAAGCUAAUUUUGGAAGAAAGAACUGUGAGUCUUCGGCAUGAAGCCAGUUACAAUUUGGAAAGCAGAGGCUGAAUUAUGGAGGAAGUGGGUUUUUCUACUGUUAUUUUUUUCAUUUAAUCUCCAAUGUUAAGAGUUGGAUGAGGGCAGCUACCACUCAAAAAUGUCCCUGAAAAGAUGAACAGGACUGCUACAUACACUUUUUUGCAUGUUGAUGUCAGCUUCCUCUGCUAAGUUGCUACUUUGCAGCUUCAUCAUAAACUUUCACACUGGGUUAGAUUUUGGCUUGAGUCAGAGGAAGAUGAACCAGGUACUACUGAAAAGGAAGAUUCAUCAACAUCAUAAUGGGAAGCUAAUGCUGCUGGUGGUUCAAAAACCAGGGCAGGGGAAAGAAGAGGAAGGGAAAUACUAUUAGCAAAAGACAUUUGCUGUUCUUCAUUUCUUCUGAGACCUGUUCCUUGGAAUUGCAGUUCCCCAAAGAAAUCAGUUAAUCACUCUUUAUCAUUGUCAAUAAGACCAGUUUCAGUGAUUUCCUUACUGUCUAGAUAUCAAAAGCCUUGUGGGGUUUUUGGAUACCAGUUGUUACCUGGAGCCAGGUUUUGCUUAUAAAGUGAAUUAAAUGAUAAUGCCAGAUUCAAAGGCUGAAUACAGAUGGAUUUGUAUAUCCGUCAGUUGGACCCAUCCAUAACAAAUGUUAGUAGAGCAGACCUCUUUUUUCCCCAAGUGAAGCAUUCACCUGUGUUAAGCUCAGUCUAGCUACAUCUCUGCUGUUCUUGGAUAGCAUAAAAAAAAAGCUCUUAUUAAAAAAAAAACAUUGCUUCCCUUGUCAAUAUACAUUCAUUACAGUGCUUGCACAGAACUCUGAUUGUGUGCCUUUUGCUUUUUAUGUGCUCUCUGAGGAGUUAGGAUUAGUGUUAACAUGACAUCUCAGCUAGCUUGGUUGCCAGUCCCUUAUUACAGGUUCUAUGCUCCACCUGAGACAAGACUGCAUGUCUUAUUAACCGCUGGCCUUGUGGUGCAUGCCAGGAAAGUCAUAACUUUUGUAUUUAUGAAACCAAGAACAAUAUCAUUAUCUUGUCCUGGAGUUCUCUCGUAACAAGAUUUUGCUGUACAAAAUUCUGUUAUUUCCUCCCUCCAUCACUCUUCCAAAACCUUACCAAGCAGGCCACUAAAGUGAUUUGUACAAAGACUUACUAACGGCUGUUUCCUUGCUAUGAUUUUCUCUUUAGGGCUGUGGAGUGCAAUAACUUUCUGUAAAAGAAAAGCAAA